GACGAACGCUGGCGGCGUGCUUAACACAUGCAAGUCGAACGGAAAGGCCCUGCUUUUGUGGGGUGCUCGAGUGGCGAACGGGUGAGUAACACGUGAGUAACCUGCCCUUGACUUUGGGAUAACUUCAGGAAACUGGGGCUAAUACCGGAUAGGAGCUCCUGCUGCAUGGUGGGGGUUGGAAAGUUUCGGCGGUUGGGGAUGGACUCGCGGCUUAUCAGCUUGUUGGUGGGGUAGUGGCUUACCAAGGCUUUGACGGGUAGCCGGCCUGAGAGGGUGACCGGCCACAGUGGGACUGGAAUACGGCCCAGACUCCUACGGGAGGCAGCAGUGGGGAAUAUUGCACAAUGGGCGGAAGCCUGAUGCAGCAACGCCGCGUGCGGGAUGACGGCCUUCGGGUUGUAAACCGCUUUCGCCUGUGACGAAGCGUGAGUGACGGUAAUGGGUAAAGAAGCACCGGCUAACUACGUG
rnacentral:rRNA from 1 species